rnacentral:ncRNA from 1 species
CAACCGCUGACGAAAAACGUGUAUGUUG